rnacentral:rRNA from 1 species
GACAGAGGGUGCAAACGUUGCUCGGAAUCACUGGGCGUAAAGGGCGUGUAGGCGGGUAGAUAAGUCGGGCGUGAAAUCCCUAGGCUCAACCUAGGAACUGCACUCGAAACUGUUUAUCUUGAGUGCCGGAGAGGAAAGCGGAAUUCCUGGUGUAGAGGUGAAAUUCGUAGAUAUCAGGAGGAACACCAGUGGCGAAGGCGGCUCACUGGACGACUGUUGACGCUGAGGUAC